rnacentral:rRNA from 1 species
GACGAACGCUGGCGGCGCGCUUAACACAUGCAAGUCGAGCGAUAACCAUGGCUUCGGCUAUGGGGAGAGCGGCGAACGGGUGAGUAACACGUGAGUGAUCUGCCCUUGACACCGGGAUAGCCCGGGGAAACCCGGAUUAAUACCGGAUGGCCUGUCGAGCCUACGGGCUCGCUAGAAAAGAUGGCUUCGGCUUUCGGUCGAGGAGGAGCUUGCGGCGGAUUAGCUUGUUGGUGAGGUAACGGCUCACCAAGGCGACGAUCCGUAGCUGGUCUGAGAGGACGAUCAGCCACACUGGGACUGAGACACGGCCCAGACUCCUACGGGAGGCAGCAGUGGGGAAUCUUGCGCAAUGGGCGAAAGCCUGACGCAGCGACGCCGCGUGAGGGAAGAAGGCCUUCGGGUUGUAAACCUCUUUCAGGAGGGACGAAGCUACUCGGGUUAAUACCCCAGAGGGUGACGGUACCUCCAGAAGAAGCCCCGGCUAACUACGUGC